ACUAGCCGUUAAUGGCAUUUGCGCCUCUCAGGAUUCUGAACGGGAAUUCAUCCUGCUUGAUCCGAACGGUGAAGAAGCGAAGGAUGCCGCCCAGUUUGCAGUGGAAGCCCAGGGGGUUACCCUUGUACAGGUCAACAGAGCGGAGAUGAUGUUUGAGAACUUGCAGUACCGAAUCUUCCUUGAUGUUAACGUUUGCGACGAAGCUGGGUCUUGCGUCUUGCGCGACUGUUUCGCACAUGUCAUUCAGCCCACGCAGUAUCCAGAACGGUUCCUCAAAGAUUUUUUAUGCAUAAGGUAGUAACAUGCACAGCUUGAUCUUGAAGACCUCGUAGCAGACAAGGAAUAACAUUACACAUCCAUCAGAAGAUUGUUGUACAACUGAUUUAAUAAAGAGCUGAUGUGU